UGUAUUCGACCUGAGCUCAGGCAAGGCUACCCGCUGUACUU
rnacentral:rRNA from 1 species